AUACAUGCAGUCGAACGGUGUCUUCGGACAUAGUGGCGCACGGGUGCGUAACACGUAUGCAACCUACCUUACAUUGGGGGAUAGCCUUUCGAAAGGGAGAUUAAUACCGCAUAAGACAGUAAAUGGGCAUCCAUUAGCUGUUAAAGAUUUAUCGAUGUAAGCUGGGCAUGCGACCAAUUAGUUAGUUGGCGAGGUAAUGGCUCACCAAGACUAUGAUUGGUAGGGGAACUGAGAGGUCAAUCCCCCACACUGGCACUGAGAUACGGGCCAGACUCCUACGGGAGGCAGCAGUAGGGAAUAUUGGGCAAUGGACGCAAGUCUGACCCAGCCAUGCCGCGUGCAGGAUGAAGGCGUUAUGCGUCGUAAACUGCUUUUAUACAGGAAGAAACGACUCUUGCGAGGGGCAUUGACGGUACUGUAUGAAUAAGCACCGGCUAACUCCGUGCCAGCAGCCGCGGUAAUACGGAGGGUGCAAGCGUUGUCCGGAUUUAUUGGGUUUAAAGGGUGCGCAGGUGGUUUAUUAAGUCAGUGGUGAAAGACGGUCGCUCAACGAUUGCAGUGCCAUUGAAACUAGUAGACUUGAGUAAAGUAGAGGUGGGCGGAAUUGAUAGUGUAGCGGUGAAAUGCAUAGAUUUUAUCAAGAACUCCAAUUGCGAAAGGCAGCUCACUUGGCUUUUACUGACACUCAUGCACGAAAGUGUGGGUAUCAAACAGGAUUAGAUACCCUGGUAGUCCACACUGUAACGAUGAUA
rnacentral:rRNA from 1 species